rnacentral:rRNA from 1 species
GUAACAAGGUUUCCGUAGGUGAAACUGCGGAAGGAUCAUUG